rnacentral:rRNA from 1 species
AUUGAACGCUGGCGGCAGGCCUAACACAUGCAAGUCGAGCGAGCGGCGGACGGGUGAGUAAUGUCUGGGAAACUGCCUGAUGGAGGGGGAUAACUACUGGAAACGGUAGCUAAUACCGCAUACCAUCAGAUGUUCCCCGAUGGGAUUAGCUUGUAGGUGGGGUAACGGCUCACCUAGGCGACGAUGCCUAGCUGGUCUGAGAGGAUGACCAGCCACACUGGAACUGGGACACGGUCCAGACGCCUACGGUAGGCAGCAGUGGGGAAUAUUGCACAAUGGGCGCAAGCCUGAUGCAGCCAUGCCGCGUGUGUGAAGAAGGCCCUCGGGUUGUAAAGCACUUUCAGCGGGGAGGCGUUACCGGCAGAAGAAGCACCGGCUAACUCCGUGCCAGCAGCCGCGGUAAUAC